GUGUUAGCCAGGAUGGUCUCAAUCUCCUGACCUCAUGAUCCACCUGCCUCGGCCUCCCGAACUGCUGGGAUUACAGGCAUGUUUUGAGCACGGUUCCCCAGUCCCCGGGCCUGGACCAGUCUGUGACCUAUUAGGAACCAGGAUGCACGGCAGGAGAUGGGACCAUCUAGUUGCAGGAAAACAAGCUCAGGGCAUCUACUGACUCUACAUUAUGGUUUUCCAGUCACAUUAUACAUGUGGAGAUUAAGACCCAUAAUAACAAUGACAACACUUUCAUAACAGUUCGUCUGUGUUAACAUACAAAUUCUCGCAGCAACACUCCAG